GCCUGGGUGGCUCAGUCAGUUAAGCAUCUGACUUUGGCUCAGGUCAUGAUCUCACAGCUCGUGGGUUUGAGCCCCGCGUCAGGCU
rnacentral:tRNA from 1 species